rnacentral:tRNA from 1 species
GAGGGGAUAGCUCAGUGGUAGAGUGUGUGUUUAGCAUGCACAAGGUCCUGGAUUCAAUCCCCAGUACCACCA